rnacentral:rRNA from 1 species
UACGGAGGGUGCAAGCGUUAUCCGGAUUCACUGGGUUUAAAGGGUGCGUAGGCGGGUAUAUAAGUCAGUGGUGAAAGCUCCGGGCUUAACUUGGAACUGCCAUUGAUACUGUAUAUCUUGAAUGUCGUUGAGGUUAGCGGAAUGUUGCAUGUAGCGGUGAAAUGCUUAGAUAUGUUACAGAACACCAAUUGUGAAGACAGCUAACUAAGCGAUGAUUGACGCUGAGGCACGAAAGCGUGGGAGCAAACAGG